rnacentral:rRNA from 1 species
GAGACUUUGAUCCUGGCUCAGGACGAACGCUGGCGGCGUGCUUAACACAUGCAAGUCGAGCGAUGAAAUCCCUUCGGGGAUGGAUUAGCGGCGGACGGGUGAGUAACACGUGGGCAACCUGCCUCAAAGUGGGGGAUAGCCUUCCGAAAGGGAGAUUAAUACCGCAUAACAUUAGUUUUUCACAUGAAUUACUAAUUAAAGGAGUAAUCCGCUUUGAGAUGGGCCCGCGGCGCAUUAGCUAGUUGGUGAGGUAACGGCUCACCAAGGCCACGAUGCGUAGCCGACCUGAGAGGGUGAUCGGCCACAUUGGAACUGAGACACGGUCCAGACUCCUACGGGAGGCAGCAGUGGGGAAUAUUGCACAAUGGGCGAAAGCCUGAUGCAGCAACGCCGCGUGAGUGAUGAAGGCCUUCGGGUUGUAAAGCUCUGUCUUUGGGGACGAUAAUGACGGUACCCAAGGAGGAAGCCACGGCUAACUACGUGCCAGCAGCCGCGGUAAUACGUAGGUGGCGAGCGUUGUCCGGAUUUACUGGGCGUAAAGGAUGCGUAGGCGGAUGUUUAAGUCAGAUGUGAAAAUCCCGAGCUUAACUUGGGAACUGCAUUUGAAACUGGAUAUCUAGAGUGCGGGAGAGGAGAAUGGAAUUCCUAGUGUAGCGGUGAAAUGCGUAGAGAUUAGGAAGAACACCAGUGGCGAAGGCGAUUCUCUGGACCGUAACUGACGCUGAGGCAUGAAAGCGUGGGUAGCAAACAGGAUUAGAUACCCUGGGUAGUCCACGCCCGUAAACGAUGAAUACUAGGGUGUAAGGAGGUAUCGGACUCCCUUCUUGUGCCGCAGCCUACCGCCAUAAAGUAUUCCGCCCUGGGGAAGUACGAAUCGCAAAGAUUAAAAACUCAAAAGGGAAUUUGACGGGGGGCCCCGCAC